AUCCUGGCUCAGGAUGAACGCUAGCGACAGGCUAACACAUGCAAGUCGAGGGGCAGCACGGGAGUAGCAAUACAACUGGUGGCGACCGGCGCACGGGUGAGUAACGCGUAUGCAACCUACCUAUCAGAGGGGAAUAACCCGGCGAAAGUCGGACUAAUACCGCAUAAAACAGGGGCACCGCAUGGUGAUAUUUGUUAAAGAAAUUCGCUGAUAGAUGGGCAUGCGUUCCAUUAGGUAGUUGGUGAGGUAACGGCUCACCAAGCCGACGAUGGAUAGGGGAACUGAGAGGUUGGUCCCCCACACUGGUACUGAGACACGGACCAGACUCCUACGGGAGGCAGCAGUGAGGAAUAUUGGUCAAUGGGCGGGAGCCUGAACCAGCCAAGUCGCGUGAAAGGAAGAAGGAUCUAUGGUUCGUAAACUUCUUUUGCAGGGGAAUAAAGUGCAGGACGUGUCCUGUUUUGUAUGUACCCUGAGAAUAAGGAUCGGCUAACUCCGUGCCAGCAGCCGC
rnacentral:rRNA from 1 species